AUUCAAUAAGUGCAAGGUCCAAAAUUCUGCUUAGUGGGGCCACCCUCAAAGAGUGCAAGGAUCAAAUCUGCUUAGUGGGGCGGUGGCAAAGCAAAAGUAUGCGAGAGUUUGUUCACUUGCCAUUAGAGUUGGCAAGACUGCAAUUUCCAUCAGAUUGUCUCAUCAUCUUCAUCUUUUUGUGAAAAUUGUACCUUUGUUUAACAACGAUCUUCUCUAAUCUCUAUCAAUAGAUGAGCCCUUUGACCCACCUUUGUUUAACAACGAUCUUCUCUAAUCUCUAUCAAUAGAUGAGCCC
rnacentral:misc_RNA from 1 species